rnacentral:piRNA from 1 species
UAGAUUAAAGUUAAGUGAAUCAGCUGC